UGUAACUGAGGGUUUCACAGGUGGUUAAAAAUAAUUGGUCAAGGGUAGACAAAGAGCUAGGAUUCUCCUACAUUGCUGGUAAAAGGUUAAAUUUGUACGAGUUUGAAAAUAUGUUUGGAAGUACUCCUAAAACCAAAUAUAUGCAUACCCUGUGACUGACUCAGUGGUUCUUCUCCAUCAACAGUAGAAUGGAUAAAUUGUGGCUUAUUCAUUCAACGGGAUACUCUACAGCAAUGAGAAUGAAUGAACUAUUGUUUUACAUCCAAAUGGAUGAGUCUUACAACUAUAAUAAAUAAUAUAUGAUGUAAUGGCAAAUAAAAUAAUUGGCAAAAGAAGUCUCAAAACGUUAUGAUUCCAUUUAUAAAGCUAAAAAAAAUGGCAAACCUAAACUACAGAGUUAGAAGUCAAGAGACUUGUUCCCUUUGCAGGAGGUAAUAAAGGUGGUGAAGAAAAGAACCCUUGAGCUACUGAUAAUUGUUUCAGAUACUAGUUAUAGGAGGAUAGAUUUCUUGUGAACCUCUAUCCAGCUGUACAGUUAUGAUUUGUUUGUUUUUCUUUAUCUGAUAUGCUUCAAAACAAAGUUUUUAAAAAGUAGACUUCCUGUUUAUAAUAAUGGCAGUCUGGGUUAUUCUACAGGCUCUUUUGUUAAAAAGAUCUAAAUAAUGAAAGGUUGAUGCUUUUAAGGAGAAAUUUUUACUAUUUUAUCUAAGAGUUGACAAAGGAUUAAGGAAUAGAUUCAAAAAUGAAGGGAAAAUCUGGUCAGGCAUUCUAGCAGAAAGCCAUUUUUAAGCUACUUUGCCCUGAGGGCAUUUGUCUAGCCCAAACAAAAAGAGCUUUGACUGCCUUAUAGAAGAAAGAUGACAGAAAAGAGGGCAGAGACCUUGUAAAAGCUGGAGUUUUUGCCCAAAGAUCCUCCCCAAAUUCAGCUUGGUUGACCCAAAGUAGAGCUGCUUUAUCUAGGGUGCAGCCCAGGUUGUAAAUGAAGUGUUAGGGAAAGGGGCAGGGUCUGACAGUGGAAGCAAAAGGGGAGCAGGAGGGGAGUAGACUUUUUGAGAUGUUUGCCUCGAGUGGGGUAGAUCUGGUCAAAUGCACUGUUCUUCUGGGAAGCUCUUUUUCCUGGUCCUGUGGCUACAGAAUGUGGGCUUUUCUUGGAGCAUUUUGGUCUGUGCCCAUUGGUGUUUCUGGAUUAGGGAGCUCUCCUGUGCCCAGGCCUGGAUAUACUGGAGACAGACAAAAUCCCAGGGAACUCAACACCCAAGGUCGAUAGCCAGUUUGUCUUUUCUUCACCUUUAUGCCUUCUGUCAGUUGCGCUAUGGAUUUUGUCGAGGUUUAUUUGUUUGUUUCAUUAUUAGCAGGAGGACUAAUAGGGUGGCAUGUGCUUAUUUCAUCUUGACAGGACCAGAAACGAUUCAAUAAGUUCUAUAUUGACUCCAUAUUCUAUAUUCCAAUUUUGUCAGUUGUCCCAGUAAUGUGUUUUAUAGCAUUAUUUUGUUUCUGGUACAAGAUCCAGUCCAGCAUCAUGAAUUGCAUUUAGUUUCCAUGUCUAGUUUCCAUCUAUAAUAAUUUCUCAGUCUCUCACUUGUCUUUAAAGAUACAAAAACUUGUGAAAAACAAAGGCCAGUUGUUUUUUAGAAUGUCUCUCAUUCGGGUUUGUCUGAUAUUGUUUCCUCAUGAUGAGAUUCAGGUUAUGAAUGAAAAAAAAAAGUCUUUUUUAGAGCGAGUGUGUGCAAGUGGGAGAGAAGGGCAGAGGGAGAAGGAGGGAGGGAGGGAGAGAGAGAGAGAGAGAGAGAGAGAGAGAGAGAGAAUCUUAAGCAGGCUCCAUGAUCAGCACAGAGCCCAAUACGGAGCUCCAUCCCAUGAACCUGGGAUCAAGACCUGAGCUGAAAUAAAGAGUUAGAUGCUUAUCUGACUGAGCCACCCAGUCACCCCCAGUUUAUGAAUUUUUUGAGAGAAAUACAACGUGAAUGAUGUUUGGUCCUUCUCAACUUAUCAUAUCCAGAGGCACAUGAUACCUAUUUGCCCCCCACCUUUUUUUUUUAAUCUCUUUUUUUUUUUUAAGUAAACUCUAGACCCAACAUGGGGCUUGAACUCACAGCCUUGACUGAGAUCAAGAGCCGCAUGCUCUUCCAGCUGAGCCAUCCACACACCCGUUUGCUCCUUAUUUUGAUCACUUGCUUAACAUGUUCUUCUAUUCCUCCAGGGUAUAAUUGUUUUUCCUUUUGCAACUAAUGCACACAUUAUGAAGAGAAACUUUGAUAGUGAUUAAAUAUUCUGUUUCUUAUCAAACUUGGCCUCGACCCCAUGUGUGUAGCAUCCGUAGAUGAUUUUUGCCUGAAAGAAAUUUUAUUAUGAUGGUUAUAAAAUGGGGAUUUCCUGACUCCAUCAGUACCUCUAUAUGCUGGCACUCUACUGCAAGAAAGAGCUCUUCCCUCUUUGAAACCAACUUUAGGAAUGAUCCCUUCUAGCUAUGGUAGGAGAUCUAGAUAACACACUAGUCCUUCCUCUCCUUUCCCCCAUCUUCCCAGUACAGUUAUAUUAUUUUUAGUUCCUCCAUUAAUUAUCAUUUGUGACUUAAAUUAAUAUACACUUUUUUCUUGUUCUGUCAAGUAUCUAUGAUGUCUCUUGAUCUUCGGGUUAGUGAAAUGAGGGUCUUAUUUUCCUUGCCCUGCCCUUUAGCUCUCUUCCCCCAUUCUACUUCCCAACUUCUGUCAUGUACACUUUCACAUUAUUGAGGUCGUUAUUUACGCGAUGUUUUAUAAUCACUAUUACGUUACUGUGAGCUUAUCCAGUUUCCCAUCAACUUUCCACUUUCUCAUCAUUGAUGAUCUUUGCCUGACUUAUUUCAUUAGGAGAGGCAAAAUACUGGUAUUUAAAGUUACAGUAUUUGCUCUGCAUUUACUAGCUGCCAGACUCUAUUUUUCCGACCGUUCUAAUUGUUGUAAAGUACAAUUUCAGUGUUUUCAUUCAUGCAUCUCAUGGCUGCCCACUGCUUCAUGAAUUAAGUUCCAAUGCUUUCGUGUUAUGGCCAGGCCUUUCAUAUUAUGUUUCCUACCCUUUUUUAUCUCCCUUAUUCCUUUAGAUACUCUAUGAUCCUGGGAAGAGUUUCUGUGUUCCUCAAAAGUUCCACCUCACCCUUGCUUCUUUAUCUUUGUUCUUGCCUUUCCUUCUAUCUAGAUUGUUCUCAGUCCUGUGGAAAUUUUAUCCAAAGUCCUCACAACGGCCUCAGAGUGGCCUACAAGGUCUUACACACUAGAGUUUCUAUUUCCUGGGACCUCAUCUCCAGUGCUUUCUCUCUCUCAUUCUAGUCAGACUGUUUUUCCAAGACACCAUUCACAAGCCACAAGCUUUGUGAUGUCACAGAGACAUCAGGUCUUUGCAUUUGCUGUUCCCCCUUCCUAGGGCACUCCCUCCAGAUACUAGCAUGGUUCAUAGUCAUCAGCUUUUUAAAGUAUUUGCUCAAGUGUCACUUUCUCAGUUUUUCAGCACUGUGUUGAAUAAGAAUGAUGAGCAUAGACAUCCUCUACCCAAUCUUCGAGGAAAAGCAGCUUAGUUUUUAACCAUUAAAUAUAAUGUUAGAUGUA